GACAGAGGGUGCAAACGUUGUUCGGAAUUACUGGGCGUAAAGGGCGCGUAGGCGGCCUGUUAAGUCGAACGUGAAAUCCCCGGGCUCAACCCGGGAACUGCGUCCGAUACUGGCAGGCUUGAAUCCGGGAGAGGGAUGCGGAAUUCCAGGUGUAGCGGUGAAAUGCGCAGAUAUCAGGAGGAACACCGGUGGCGAAGGCGGUUCUCUGGGCAUUACCUGACGCUGAGGAGCGAAAGUGUGGGGAGCGAACAGG
rnacentral:rRNA from 1 species